AAGACAGAGGGGGCAAGCGUUGCUCGGAAUCACUGGGCGUAAAGGGCGCGUAGGCGGGAUGGCAAGUCGGUCGUGAAAUCCUUCGGCUCAACCGAAGAACGUCGGCCGAUACUGCCGUUCUUGAGGGAUGCAGAGGAGAUUGGAAUUCCCGGUGUAGCGGUGAAAUGUGUAGAGAUCGGGAGGAACACCGGUGGCGAAGGCGGAUCUCUGGGCCUUACCUGACGCUGAGGCGCGAAAGCUAGGGGAGCGAACAG
rnacentral:rRNA from 1 species